UAUAAGGUUUUUGUAUAUGUACUUUAAAUGGAUAAUAUAAUUGGACAAUGUAUUAUAGAUUCAGGUUGAGUUAAUAUAAAAAAGGUAAUAUGUAUGUGUAAAUUUUCACCGGAUAUUAAAAAGUAAUCUGGGUUUAAUAAUGCCGUCAGUAAAACACUAAAUCUUAAACCCUUGGGUAAACUCUAAACACUUGGGUAAACUCUAAUCUAUUUGAUAAACUCUAAACCCUUGGAUAAACCUUAAACCCUAAAUCAUAAAACACUAAAUUUUUGAAAAACUAAACCCUUAAUCCUAAACCCUAUGGUUUACCCUAGACCCAAAUCCUAAAUCCUAAACCCAAAUCCUAAACCCUAGACCCAAAUCCUAAACCCAAACUUUAGACCCUAAAAUCUAAACCCAAAAUCCAAACCCU
rnacentral:lncRNA from 1 species